UUGAACGCUGGCGGCAUGCCUUACACAUGCAAGUCGAACGGCAGCACGGGAGCAAUCCUGGUGGCGAGUGGUGAACGGGUGAGUAAUGUAUCGGAACGUACCUUUCAGUGGGGGAUAACGUAGCGAAAGUUACGCUAAUACCGCAUAUUCUGUGUGCAGGAAAGCAGGGGAUCGCAAGACCUUGCGCUGAUUGAGCGGCCGAUAUCAGAUUAGCUAGUUGGUGAGGUAAAGGCUCACCAAGGCGACGAUCUGUAGCGGGUCUGAGAGGAUGAUCCGCCACACUGGAACUGAGACACGGUCCAGACUCCUACGGGAGGCAGCAGUGGAGAAUUUUGGACAAUGGGGGCAACCCUGAUCCAGCCAUGCCGCGUGAGUGAAGAAGGCCUUCGGGUUGUAAAGCUCUCUCGGCCGGGAAGAAAUCGCAUGGGUUAAUACCCUGUGCGGAUGACGGUACCGGCAUAAGAAGCACCGGCUAACUACGUG
rnacentral:rRNA from 1 species